UAACUCACUCUCUGGAAGGAUUCUCUUAGAUAAAGGCAUACUGGUUUCCACCUGAUAAGCAGAACUCUGCUUAUUGGAAAUACCCCGGAUCCUCACUGGCUUCUUUAAGACCUCUAAGAAAAUGAGUUCUCAAAGCAACGCCUCAGCAGUCUUUGGAGGGACAUCUUGUAGCCCAUUUUGCUCCAGUUUCUCAAAGGUCUUCUCUCUCUCUCUCUCCUUUAUGUUGGAAGAAGGAAGUAAGAAGGGAAAGGAGGAGAGGAGGAGGUAACUCAUGGCACACACAACACACAGAAGGAAGCCCCCAGAAAAUGCAUGAGACAGAAAGGAACACAACGUACUUCUGAUCUUCCCUCUUCUGUGAGCAAAAGUAAAGCCAAUAAAGCCUAUUUGCAGCAGAGUAAGGGGCAAAGGAAACACUGAAUACCAUUCUCCUCCUCCUCCACCACCACCACCACCUCUUGCUGGGGAAGCAACUAUGACAAAUGUGGAGAAGAACACCUGGCUGCGAAAUAUGAGACAAGAUGGAACCAAAAAGGGCAAUAUCGUUCUGAUCUGCCUCUGAGGUUAUUGUCUGGAAGAGAGAGGGUAGGACAUAACUUGGUAGCAAUAUUCAUAGCUGAAAAAAGUGCUUUAUGUUCAAAAUUGCCCCAGUCUUUAUUUAAUAACAUACUCUAAUUGCUCCACCACUGGCAGCUUUAGAAUAAAA